rnacentral:rRNA from 1 species
AUGCUGAUGCGGGUGGAGCUGCCAUUGAGGCACAUUUGGCCUCUGAGAUUGUGUGCAUGGAUGAGGAAAGAGUCAUUGCAAGAGGUGUUGGUGGAGACAGAGGUUGAGUGGACGAUCGACAUACACGGCGUCAUCUAUAACUGCCUCUAUGGCUUCCUCGGCCUCCAUGUCAGCCUCCCUGCUUCACUACCGCAAAAGGGUUUGCAGCGUUGUGUGGUGAUGGCCCUGCCCUUGGCCAAUAUCGAUGCUCAUAGGAGUGAUCUUUGGCUAUGGAGGCGUAGCUUCGGAUGGUCUACAACAGUGUCUGGUUUCUCUGCUAGCUCUGAUUAUGUCACGUCAUGUUGGUUGGCAUACAUUUAUUUCUGUAUUUGGCACUUCUGGUUGGCUGAUGUUGUUAUGUUGUCCACGAAAACACAAUACUUAUGUUGGUGUCUAUGA